rnacentral:tRNA from 1 species
GAUUAAAUGGCUGAGAAAUAGGCAAUAGAUUGUAAAUUUAUGAACGAAAAUUAAUUUUCUUUAAUCA